rnacentral:lncRNA from 1 species
AUGGAGGAGAAUCCAGACAGCGACAGGCAUUAUGAGACGACCGCUGAUGACCCCUCACCAUCGGGCCGGUGGACCAAAGAGCAAAGUGAGGACUCCCCCCUGGAUGAUCACAACCUACCCAUCAUGCAAUGGGAAGAUUUAAGUUUGCGGAUUGCAGAGCUAGAAAGGCAGGAAGAAGAAAGAAAGAAAAAAGCAGAGAGUCUAGGUUUAUCAGCGCGAGACCGAAUACUUGGAUGCUGGACAGAAUCAAAACACCAUUCACUCCAUCGGGAGCCAUGGACGGAUGAGAAGGACUACAGUCCCUGCCGUGUCCCUGUCAUAACAUCACGGUUUAAUAGUCCUAAAAACCUUCAGCUGUGUUUCAUCAACAACAGCGAGAGUGAGGAGGAGGAUGACGAAGGAGCAUCUAGCAAAGAGAGCUCAUGUGAGGCAGGGGGACAUGGGAGUUGCUCUCGGGGACUAAAACAGGAAGUAAAAGCAGCACUCAGGACUCUCAGAGACAAGCUAUGGGCCGAACAGAAGGAGAAAGAGCAAGCCACCCACAGUAGCAUGAACAUAAGGAGAAAGAUUCUCAGCCUUAGUGAUCUGCAGACGUGCUCUUUACUGCAGUUGAAUGCGCUCAGGGCCUCGCUGAAUGAGGACAUUCAAGAUUUGAGCUCAGAACUGGUGAAACACCUCGUAGUACGGGACCACCUUCGGACUAAGCAAGAUGCUUUGCUCCUGGAUGUACAGGAUAUGACAUCAUUAUGAACUAUCUUUUUGUUUGGAACACUGCGUAACUGCAGUUUAAUGUUGGCACUUUCUGAAAGCAGUAAUUUACUGUUACUCAUCCUGUGGACUAACAAAGGCCAGAAUAUCCUGUUUAUUCUUGAAGAAAUGUAGCCCUCACAGAAACUUUUGUUAAAAAUGUGAGUCACAUUUAUUAUAGUCACAAGUUUUAUUGUGGGAAAAAGUGCCUUAUGACAAACUCUAACGGCUCUGAUUCAUAUGUCACUUACAGUUUAAUUUUACUUCCAUAAAUAAAGAAUAUAUUAAGCUGCUGUCAAAGCCAUAUGUGAUCAAUAACUGUGAUGUAUUAAUCAUCAGUUACUUUAAGCAUUCCAUUAAAAUACAGUAUAUGUAAUAGCCAUGAAAAUAUAAACAUGUGCAUUUUGCAAUCAUGAAUGUGCCUUAUAACUUUCCUGUGUAUCGAACUUAUACAUGAGAAUGAAGUAUAUCUCAGUGCUAAAUAUUCACAAUAAUUUAAUAAAUCAUUUAUUUUAUACACAGUCGUUAGCCUUUUUUGUGGAACUGGAAAAGCGGUUAUACCAUACAAACUCUGCAUUAAAAGAUACUUAAGGUUAUUAUGUGGUUCCUUAGAUUGCUAGACACCUCUAUUUAAGGUGCCUCAAAGAUCCCAGAAAAUAAUGAUGGAUUAAAGUCGAAAUUUAUGUUGUGGAAUUUUUUCAGUGAUGAAAAAAUAAAGUAAUGCACAUUUUUAUACAUUUGUAUGAAUAAAUGUGUAAUUUGCAGACUUUUUUCCCCAGCGACAGUACUGAUUUAAAGUGACCAAAAAAAGAAAAAUUGCUGAAAAUGUACUCACCCUCAGGCCAUCCAAGAUGCAGAUAGUUUUUCUUAAUCUUAAGAGAUUUGUAGCAUUAUAUUACUUGCUCACCAAUUGAUCCCCUGUGGUGAAUGGGUGCAGUCAGAAUUAGAGUCCAAACAGUUGAUAAAAGGAUCACAAUAAUCCACACAACUUCACACUGUUGUUUCAGGCUAAAAUGCAAGUCCUUUACCCAUUAUAUUGAUUUCUUCAAUUAAGAAGUUGUCUCAUCUGUAUCAGGAGAUAAAUAUGCACAGACUAAGCACAAUUUACAAGCCAGUACGGUCUAAAAUGUUGAUUAAUUUUGAUGUGAAAUGAUCAUUGUUAUGGAUUAUGGAUUUGUAUUUCGCUCAGAUGUGAGAGUUUAAAAGUUAAAUCUUUAUGAGGGAUUUGUUACACUAUGACCAGCACCUGUACAUCUCGGAUGAGUACAUUUUCAGCUUAUUUUUAUUCCUGGGUAAACUAUUUCAUUAAUGAUAAUGUAAUAUUAUAAACAGUAUAAUAUGAGUUAAUAGAAAAAAAAUAUUUGUUUCGAUGUUAAUAAACGACUACUUGAGUGUUACUAGUCAGGGUUAUGGGGGUUCAUUAGACAACACUUGUUCAGCCCAGGUAUGUUUUGCAUAACAGCCUGUGUGUUUCCGUUAGAUUGCUGUACAUAAAUGCUCAGCUGACUGACCGUUAAUGCUCGGUGAACGAACGGUGAGGGAGCGAGAGAGGGCACAGAGACCAGAGAGAAAAGAAGAAAGCACCCAGAAUUACUGAUUGACAACUGAUUAAUAAAACCUAGCAGAUCUGGAUACCAAACGGAGAAAGUAAUUUGUACACAGAGAGCGUAGUUCAAGAAGUGCAGCAAAAACUACUGAACCUUUCGUCCUGACCUUUUAUCAAAUGCGUGAAGAAAUGAAUGCAUUUUGGCUGCACAUUCAAGUUACCUUUUGUCUUGACCUUUAAGCAGGUAAGAUAUUUCAUUUAGAUCUACUUUCAAUGGUCUGCGUGUAUCAGAACAAACUUGCCUUUAAUACUACAAAAAGAAAAUAGCUUUAAAUGUGUAAGGAUGACCUAUCCAGUCAUUUCAGUCUCUAUAAUACAAUCACAUUAUUUCUAGUUUACAUUUUCUAACUUUUAAUAAUCAAAUCAAGGUGUUUAUAAUCGAUAUGCACGGUUUUGUGUUGAACUGCACGCUGGAUUGGGUUUCCGAUCAGCAUUUUCUUGUCUGAAUGAAUGGGAAUUAAUUAUUUACUGGAACAUACCUGCAAGGACACAUGAUAUUGUAAUACCAAAACUGCCUCUGUAGUACACAAACAUAUUCAUUAAACAAACUCAAGGGUUUUAUGAACCAAACAUGGAGGCUUUGUCAUUACUGCUCCAUGUUAUGUAGGCACUAUGCAUAUAGAUGAAUGUAACAGCCAUGUCUAGCCAUAAAUUAGGCAUCUUAAUGCACACGCUUCGCAGUUUUCAUUGCAAACGGGGUCAGUUGGGUCAGGAAGUGGCGCGUGUUGAUACCUCUUAAUCUGUGUAAAGAAAAAAGCGCAAUGUGAAAGAACUCGUCUAAUACAUGGGACUCAAAAAAUGGGGGAUGGAAAGAUGAAUGAAGGGUUUACGGACUAGUUUGUUACUGAUUGAUGGGGUAAUAGACCAGAAGAGGCCGAUUCAGCACUAUAGACAGAUAGAGCUGAAGGACUGAGUCAUUGGUCAACCCGCAGUUUGCUUGGAAAUAAACUAUAGGACGGACUGCAAGAAAGUCCAGAUUUACAAUGCAAUCACGGUAAAACUAUAUAACGUUCCUCUUGUUUUCUCCAUUUUGGAGCGAUGUCCUCACAGGAUAUCCUGAAGGCUGAAGAAUGUGGAGCUUCUAGAUUGAAUUGAAGAGGUCUCGAGAAGACGGUGAUGUGG